AACGAACGCUGGCGGCAGGCCUAACACAUGCAAGUCGAGCGAGGACUUCGGUCCUAGCGGCGGACGGGUGAGUAACGCGUGGGAACGUGCCCUUUGGUUCGGAAUAGCCCUGGGAAACUGGGAGUAAUACCGGAUGAGCUCUUCGGAGGAAAGAUUUAUCGCCAAAGGAUCGGCCCGCGUUGGAUUAGGUAGUUGGUGGGGUAAUGGCCUACCAAGCCGACGAUCCAUAGCUGGUUUGAGAGGAUGAUCAGCCACACUGGGACUGAGACACGGCCCAGACUCCUACGGGAGGCAGCAGUGGGGAAUCUUAGACAAUGGGGGAAACCCUGAUCCAGCAAUGCCGCGUGAGUGAUGAAGGCCUUAGGGUCGUAAAGCUCUUUUACCAGGGAUGAUAAUGACAGUACCUGGAGAAUAAGCUCCGGCUAACUCCGUG
rnacentral:rRNA from 1 species